GCGCUGCUGAAGAGUCUCACAACAGGACGAAACGACUGUCCAGUGC
rnacentral:hammerhead_ribozyme from 1 species